GACGAACGCUGGCGGCGUGCAUAAUACAUGCAAGUAGAACGCUGAAGCCUGGUGCUUGCACCGAGCGGAUGAGUUGCGAACGGGUGAGUAACGCGUAGGUAACCUGCCUGGUAGCGGGGGAUAACUAUUGGAAACGAUAGCUAAUACCGCAUAAGAGUAGAUAUUGCAUGACAUUUGCUUAAAAGGUGCAAUUGCAUCACUACCAGAUGGACCUGCGUUGUAUUAGCUAGUUGGUGAGGUAACGGCUCACCAAGGCAACGAUACAUAGCCGACCUGAGAGGGUGAUCGGCCACACUGGGACUGAGACACGGCCCAGACUCCUACGGGAGGCAGCAGUAGGGAAUCUUCGGCAAUGGACGGAAGUCUGACCGAGCAACGCCGCGUGAGUGAAGAAGGUUUUCGGAUCGUAAAGCUCUGUUGUAAGAGAAGAACGAGUGUGAGAGUGGAAAGUUCACACUGUGACGGUAUCUUACCAGAAAGGGACGGCUAACUACGUGCCAGCAGCCGCGGUAAUACGUAGGUCCCGAGCGUUGUCCGGAUUUAUUGGGCGUAAAGCGAGCGCAGGCGGUUAGAUAAGUCUGAAGUUAAAGGCUGUGGCUUAACCAUAGUACGCUUUGGAAACUGUUUAACUUGAGUGCAAGAGGGGAGAGUGGAAUUCCAUGUGUAGCGGUGAAAUGCGUAGAUAUAUGGAGGAACACCGGUGGCGAAAGCGGCUCUCUGGCUUGUAACUGACGCUGAGGCUCGAAAGCGUGGGGAGCAAACAGG
rnacentral:rRNA from 1 species